GAGUUUGAUCCUGGCUCAGAUUGAACGCUGGCGGCAGGCCUAACACAUGCAAGUCGAACGGUAACAGGAAGAAGCUUGCUUCUUUGCUGACGAGUGGCGGACGGGUGAGUAAUGUCUGGGAAACUGCCUGAUGGAGGGGGAUAACUACUGGAAACGGUAGCUAAUACCGCAUAACGUCGCAAGACCAAAGAGGGGGACCUUCGGGCCUCUUGCCAUCGGAUGUGCCCAGAUGGGAUUAGCUUGUUGGUGGGGUAACGGCUCACCAAGGCGACGAUCCCUAGCUGGUCUGAGAGGAUGACCAGCCACACUGGAACUGAGACACGGUCCAGACUCCUACGGGAGGCAGCAGUGGGGAAUAUUGCACAAUGGGCGCAAGCCUGAUGCAGCCAUGCCGCGUGUAUGAAGAAGGCCUUCGGGUUGUAAAGUACUUUCAGCGGGGAGGAAGGGAGUAAAGUUAAUACCUUUGCUCAUUGACGUUACCCGCAGAAGAAGCACCGGCUAACUCCGUGCCAGCAGCCGCGGUAAUACGGAGGGUGCAAGCGUUAAUCGGAAUUACUGGGCGUAAAGCGCACGCAGGCGGUUUGUUAAGUCAGAUGUGAAAUCCCCGGGCUCAACCUGGGAACUGCAUCUGAUACUGGCAAGCUUGAGUCUCGUAGAGGGGGGUAGAAUUCCAGGUGUAGCGGUGAAAUGCGUAGA
rnacentral:rRNA from 1 species